AUGCUCACAGCAGGGCCUUUCUCUCCGGACCUUCUCUCUUUUCAUGGGCCGCUAGGAUUGCAGAUGCAAAGGUCUUUUCCUUUCUCUUCUCCAAACCCCACUUAGGAGGAAAUCCCCAGAAACAUCCCAGCAGGGCAGCAUCAAAUUCAAUGCAGUGUCUCACGAUGGCUGCACUCUCCCUCUUCCAAGCACAAAGAUUCUCUCCAUGCCACACAGCCCUGGCCAGGGGAUGGGAAUGGGUGGCAUCAGCAACUCAAGACUGUCUUCCCUACCCUCUUCAUUGCCUCUUUCAACGGUAUGAAGUUAAAACCAGAUCGAUAGCUAGAUCCCCCCCUCUCUACUAUGGGAGGAUACAAUAAAACAGCUCUUUGCAAAAGCAAGAAGAGGAUCCUCCCCAGAUACUGAAUCUUCCGGCACCUUGAUCUUGGACAUCUCGCCUCCAAAAUCAUGGUAAAUAAAAUUCUGUUCUUUCAGCCA